UCAUCCAUACAACAGAUAAAUAAGUGAAAAUUCAACAAGAAACAUACAUUCAUGGGUGUUCAUCAACAUCAAGCACAAUGACUUUGACAAGGUCAGAGCAUGGGAAGACAACAUGGCAGCCAAGAAUCACAGCUGUUUAUCUAACCUGAGAUCACAGAGGAGCAGCUAAGAUAGAAGAGGGGGAUGGAGAAAAGGAGGGAGAGAGGGAGGAACAGAGAGAAUGCGAGUGUUAAGGAAGAGAAGAAGGGAGAUUUGGAGAAAGAUGUGGAGGAAGACAGGGAGGGAGAGAGGGAGAAACAGGGGGAGGGAGACAGGGAGUGAGAGUGUGAGAAAGAGGGGGAGGGAGACAGGGAGGGAGAGUGUGAGAAAGAGGGGGGAAGACAGGGAGGAAGAGUGUGAGAAAAGGGGGGAGACAGGGAGGAAGAGUGUGAGAAAGAGGGGGGAGGACAGGGAGGGAGAGUGUGAGAAAGAGGGGGGGAGGACAGGGAGGGAGAGUGUGAGAAAAGGGGGGGGGGCAGGGAGGGAGAGUGGGAAAAAGAGAGCGCUGCUUCUCCUGACCCACAUUAAGAGACGCCUGCAGCACCACAGCAACACACCCACACACACAUGCACACACACAACAACACACAUACACACACACAACAACACACAUACACAACACACACAGAUACACUAAUACACUGAUACAGUACUACCAGAUCACCAUGCCAACCCCAGGACAACACUGCUACAAAACCGUGAGACCCAGAGAGCCAUAACAACAAACAGAACAACAUUCUAUGAGGCCUGGAUAGCUAGCAGGAGGACUCCUGUGCGUCACCUCCCCCUGUUUUAAAAAUACCUGUUUACAGUAUCGCACACACGCACCACAACACACACACACUUCCCGACAACGCCACAGUCAACCAAUGGAUUGCGCUCUACUUGGUCAGGUCUUCAGCUGUGUGGUGAGUCUGCUCCCCAGUGGCAGAAACCGAUGUGCCCAAACAGGGUACAUCCCCUCACCUAGAGGCCGCGGUCUGAAUGUUCCCCAGGGUCCAGAGGGCAAGGAAUGGGUGGUUCCAAUCCUGAUCACUGAUUUGCUGAAAGAUGUCGUAUUUUAGAGCGUAUUCCACAGCUAUGAAAAAUAUAUACUUCUCACUGCUCUAAUUGUGUUGGUAACAGGUUUGUAAUAGCAAUAAGGCACCUCAUGGGUUGUGGUAUAUUGCCAAUAUACCACGGCCAAGGAUUUUGGCCAGGUUUUCUGUGCUAAGUCACGCCUAAGAACAGCUCUUAGAUGUGUGAUAUCAGCCAUAUAUCACUGCCCCUCAAACCUUAUUGUUUAAAUAUAUGAUGUGGGACGUAUCUACUGACUGUCACAGAAAGCAAGCAACAGAAGUCAUGGAAGCCCAUUUUCCGGAGUUAUUAGUGGAGGUACAAAUGGCCGUUAUGAGAACAAAGGUGUCCAUUGAACACACAGCCUCUGAAUACAGGAAGAUCCCAUGUCCCCGUCUAGCCAGGCUUGGGGAGGGACAAGACAGUCCCCUCCUCGAUAUAAAAAGAUGACAAAAGGACACAGACAACAGAGGGGCUGUUUACUACUGGAUGUGUGACAGAUCCAGAGAGGUUGUUUACUACUGGUCGAUCCAGAGGGAUUCACAGGGGGUGUUAAAUACUGUCUGAUGACGGGUCAAGAGGGGUUCAGAAGGGGCAUUAAUGACUGGCUGGUGUCAGGUUUAGAGGGGUCCAAGAGGUGUUAACUACUGGACAGUCACAGGUUUAGAGGGGUCCAAGAGGUGUUAACUACUGGACAGUCACAGGUUUAGAGGGGUCCAAGAGGUGUUAACUACUGGACAGUCACAGGUUUAGAGGGGUCCAAGAGGUGUUACCUACUAGCCGGUGUCAGGUUUGGAGGGGUCCAAAAGGUGUUAACUACUGGAUUUAGAGGGGUCUAAGAGGUGUUAACUACUUGAAAGUCACAGGUUUAGAAGGGUCCAAGAGGUGUUAACUACUGAUCAGUGUCAGGUUUAGAGGGGUCCAAGAGGUGUUAACUACAGAUCGGUGUCAGGUUUAGAGGGGUCCAAGAGGUGUUAAUUACAGAUCGGUGUCUGGUUUAGAGGGGUCCAAGAGGUGUUAAUUACAGAUCAGUGUCUGGUUUAGAGGGGUCCAAGAGGUGAGACCUACUGGCCGGUGUAGCGCCCACUCAUGUCUUGGGACACUGCAGCCGACAGCUCACCAAGUGCAGGUGGGCUGCGCUCUGUGAUGUGAUUAAUAUAAUUAAAAGGUUUAUUUUCCUUUCUCGAAUGGCAGCCACACAUCAGUCCUCACGUCUGCAGGAUUAGACCUUUGAUAGUCACUGAAAAACAGCGCCAGUUGCCCUUUGAACUUAUAAUGCAUGCUUGCGCUAGUCAUAGUGGGAGGACCACAGAAUGUAUGGCUGCCUGAC
ensembl:lncRNA